UAAGACGAACCGUCCAAACGUUAUUCGGUAUCACUGGGCUUAAAGCGUGCGUAGGCGGCCUGGUAGGUGAGAUGUGAAAGCCCACGGCUCAACCGUGGAAUUGCGUUUCAAACCGUCAGGCUUGAAGGAAGACAGGGGUGUCGGGGAACUUAUGGUGGAGCCGGUGAAAUGCGUUUGAUAUCAUAGGGAACACCCGGUGGCGAAGGCGCGACACUGGGUCUUUACUGACGCGUGAGGCACGAAAGCUAGGGUAGCGAACGGGAUUAGAUACCCCGGUAGUCCUAGCCGUAAACGAUGAACACUGGGUUCAGGGGACUUCCACAUCCUCUCGGCCGUAGCGAAAGCGUUAAGUGUUCCGCCUGGGGAGUAUGGUCGCAAGGCUGAAACUCAAACGGAAUUGACGGGGGCCCCGCACAAGCGGUGGAGUAUGUGGUUUAAUUCGAUGCAACGCGAAGAACCUUACCAGGGUUUGACAUCCUGCGAACCUCUUGGAAACGAGAGGGUGCCUUCGGGAGCGCAGUGACAGGUGGUGCAUGGCU
rnacentral:rRNA from 1 species